AAGUAGCAAUACUUAGUGGCAGACGGGUGAGUAACAUGUAGGUAUCUGCCCUUUGGCCUGGAAUAACACGAGGAAACUUGUGCUAAUACCAGAUAAGUCUUUACGGAGAAAGCUUUAUGCACCAUUGGAUGGGCCUGCACUUGAUUAGUUUGUUGGUGGGGUAAUGGCCUACCAAGACUUUGAUCAAUAGCUGAUUUGAGAGGAUGAUCAGCCACAUUGGGACUGAGACACGGCCCAAACUCCUACGGGAGGCAGCAGUGGGGAAUCUUGCACAAUGGAGGAAACUCUGAUGCAGCGAUGCCGCGUGAGUGAAGAAGGCCCUUGGGUUGUAAAGCUCUUUCGUCGGGGAAGAAAAUGACUGUACCCGAAUAAGAAGGUCCGGCUAACUUCGUGCCAGCAGCCGCGGUAAUACGAAGGGACCUAGCGUAGUUCGGAAUUACUGGGCUUAAAGAGUUCGUAGGUGGUUGAAAAAGUUGGUGGUGAAAUCCCAGAGCUUAACUCUGGAACUGCCAUCAAAACUUUUCAGCUAGAGUAUGAUAGAGGAAAGCAGAAUUUCUAGUGUAGAGGUGAAAUUCGUAGAUAUUAGAAAGAAUACCAAUUGCGUAGGCAGCUUUCUGGAUCAUUACUGACACUGAGGAACGAAAGCAUGGGUAGCGAAGAGGAUUAGAUACUCUCGUAGUCCAUGCCGUAAACGAUGUGUGUUAGACGUUGGAAAUUUAUUUUCAGUGUCGCAGUGAAAGCGAUAAACACACCGCCUGGGGAGUACGACCGCAAGGUUAAAACUCAAAUGAAUUGACGGGGACCCGCACAAGUAGU
rnacentral:rRNA from 1 species